rnacentral:lncRNA from 1 species
ACAUUGUUUCACACACACACAUACACACACCCAUGAACCCCACGGGCUCGUGUUGGCCUACAGGGCCCUUCCGAUGCAAACACCUGCCUGGUCCGCUUUGCCAUUUCCAACUGCAACGGACAACUUCUUUUCUCUUGCCACAACCCAUGCCCCUAACCUUGAACGACACACCCUUUUAAUACAUAUUGAUCUAUCUGAAUUAGGUUUAUUCUCCAUAGCAAACGCUACGGAGUAUACUUUGGGAGUAAAACUUGACGGUUCGGUUACAGACUCGCAAAUGCAUCCUCUGCUGUUCUGCAUUUGUUCAUCCUGCCGUGUAACACAGACGGUUCCGUGCCCAUUACUCAAGGCCGGCCUCACAGUUAUUUCUGUAGCUUCCCCCAAGCGCUGUUUCAUAGAAGGCAGGUAGUUAGUAACUACUUGUAAUAAAUUAAUAGUGAUUCAACUUUAAAGUAUCUUUCCUAGAUCAAUAUGGUUUCCUGGAAUUACUCUGAAUUUUAUAUAUAUACAAAUAAUAUAAUCAUAAUAUAAAAUAUACAAUUUAUUAUAAUUAUAUAAAAUAAAUAGAAAAUUUGUGUAUUAAGUUUACAUAUAAAAAUAUUCAAAUGUGUAUCUGU